AGAACUUUUGCUUAGUUUAGCUUUUCGGAUAAGUAGGGGAAAAAUUGUGUAGACGCUGUAGAAGUUGAGUUUUAUUGAACUUGCUCACAUCAGGCACACCUCUGCGAAAGACGUCCGGGAAACUGCGCCACUACCGUACCGUCAGUUGGUGCUAAAUCGUACCGCGGUGAUAACCUGAAAAGGUGAACGGAAAGGUGAAGGAUAAGGAGGAAUGAGGAGAGGAAGGAGUCGUGAUUUGUAGGAAAGAGGAAGACUAUUUAAGUGAGUAUGGAGAUUGAAGGAAAUGUAAACAGUAAUUAAUUUG